rnacentral:rRNA from 1 species
AGAGUUUGAUCCUGGCUCAGAAUGAGCGUUGGCGGCGUGGAUUAGGCAUGCAAGUCGAACGAGAAUCCCCGCAAGGGGAGGAAAGUGGCGAAAGGGAGAGUAAUACGUAGGUACCUGCCCUCGGGUCUGGGAUAGCUGCGGGAAACUGCAAUUAAUACCGGAUGAUGUCUCUGGACCAAAGGUGUGAUUCCGCCAGAGGAUGGGCCUGCGUCCUAUCAGCUAGUUGGUGUGGUAAUGGCGCACCAAGGCUAAGACGGGUACGGGGUGUGAGAGCAUGCCCCCGCUCACUGGGACUGAGAUACUGCCCAGACACCUACGGGUGGCUGCAGUCGAGAAUCUUCCGCAAUGGGCGAAAGCCUGACGGAGCGACGCCGCGUGUGGGAUGAAGGCCUUCGGGUUGUAAACCACUGUCAGUGGGGAGCAAAUGCAUCAGGGUUCUCCCUGGUGUUUGAGCGAUCCGCAGAGGAAGCACAGGCUAAUUCCGUGCCAGCAGCCGCGGUAAUACGGAAUGUGCAAACGUUAUUCGGAAUCACUGGGCUUAAAGAGUCCGUAGGCGGCUUGUUAGGUGAGGUGUGAAAUCCCUCGGCCCAACCGAGGAAUUGCGCUUCAAACCGGCAAGCUAGAGGAGGAUAGAGGUGGGCGGAACUGAUGGUGGAGCGGUGAAAUGCGUUGAUAUCAUCAGGAACACCGGAGGCGAAGGCGGUCCACUGGGUCCUUUCUGACGCUGAGGGACGAAAGCUAGGGGAGCGAACGGGAUUAGAUACCCCGGUAGUCCUAGCCUUAAACGAUGAGCACUAGACCGAAGAAUCUCCACGAUUUUUUGGUCGUAGCGAAAGUGUUAUGGGGUCCGCAAGGGGAGGAUGGUCGCAAGGCUGAAACUCAAAGGAAUUGACGG